rnacentral:rRNA from 1 species
CCUACGGGAGGCAGCAGUGAGGAAUAUUGGUCAAUGGGCGGAAGCCUGAACCAGCCAAGUAGCGUGCAGGAUGACUGCCCUACGGGUUGUAAACUUCUUUUAUAAAGGAAUAAAGUGAGACACGCGUGCCUGUUUGUGUGUACUUUAUGAAUAAGGAUCGGCUAACUCCGUGCCAGCAGCCGCGGUAAUACGGAGGAUGCGAGCGUUAUCCGGAUUUAUUGGGUUUAAAGGGAGCGUAGAUGGGUGGUUAAGUCAGUGGUGAAAGUUUGCGGCUCAACCGUAAAAUUGCCAUUGAUACUGGCAGCCUUGAGUACAGUUGAGGUAGGCGGAAUUCGUGGUGUAGCGGUGAAAUGCUUAGAUAUCACGAAGAACUCCGAUUGCGAAGGCAGCAUACUAACCUGCCACUGACAUUGAUGCUCGAAAGUGUGGGUAUCGAACAGGAUUAGAUACCCUUGUAGUC